UGGGUUGAGAAAUGUACUCUGCCACGUAGGAGCUAGGUAGUAGUUUGUACAUUUCUUAGUCCCU
ensembl:miRNA Mir3962 microRNA 3962